UGGUAUGCACUGGCUUCGCUGAUUCCUCCUUUCUGAAGAACUGUAAUGCCAUUAAUUUGGUGUUGCAGGGAAACAGGACUGUUACUUUGAAAAAAUUAGAGUGUUUAAAGCAGGCUAACGCUUGAAUACAUUAGCAUGGAAUAAUGAAAUAGGACGUUUGAUCCUAUUUUGUUGGUUUCUAGGAUUGACGUAAUGAUUAAUAGGGAUAGUUGGGGGCAUUAGUAUUCAAUUGUCAGAGGUGAAAUUCUUGGAUUUAUUGAAGACUGACUACUGCGAAAGCAUUUGCCAAGGAUGUUUUCAUUAAUCAAGAACGAAAGUUAGGGGAUCGAAGACGAUCAGAUACCGUCGUAGUCUUAACCAUAAACUAUGCCGACUAGGGAUCGGAUGAUGUUAAUUUUUUAAUG
rnacentral:rRNA from 1 species